ensembl:lncRNA
UCGGGCUGUGUGUGGGUGGAGGGAAGGGGGUGCGGGGAGUGCGAUGAUGCCCCUUCUCGCCGCCUCCACCUGCGGGUCAGGGGGCUCUGAGAGAACACUCCCGCUCCCACAGGGGUCAGGGCCGCUGCCCCCCGGGCCCUGCGCCCGCUUCGGGUCGGGGGAGCGGGGCCUCUGCUGCUGGCAGCGAUGGAGGUGUCAGCGCGGGGGUUCCAGGUGCCCGGGGCGAGGAGGGGCCUGCUGGGCCGUGCCUCGGGGUCACUCUGAGGGACAGCAGAAGUGAUAACAACAGACAAAGUGAAAUCCACCAUCGCUUUUCGUGUCACGCGAGCGGGACCCGCCUGGCUGUCUCCACGAAGGAGGGAGAAGACCCUUUUAGCAGACGGACAGGGCUCUUCGGAUUUUAUUUUCUUUCCUUCUUAAUUUUUUUUUUAAUUUUUAUUUUUCCCCUUUUUCACCCAAAUUACCUGCGGCGUAUAGCACUCAGCCGUCCCCUCUGUGCAGCAGCAGCCGGGCGAAGCGGAUCCGUGUGGCCGCAGGGGGGAGGCGGCCCCGCGCUGCUGCCGGGAUGGACCCACGGCCGGCGGACAGACCGUCCCUGCAGUCUUGACCGCGGACCUCCCCAGGCUGUGUCCCCCCCGUGUGUGUGCGCAGCUGUCACGGGCACUGCCGGAAUGCCCCCUCCGGUUUCGUGAAUCGCUUUGGCUAUUCAGAUUUUGGGAGGGUGAGGGUUUGAUUUGCCUUUAUUGUGUGUGCGAUUUUUGUUUUCGGGUGGGUUUUUUGCUUGUUUGUUUGCUUGUUUGUUUCUUCCUCUUCUGUUCCCAGACUCCCAUCCCGUCCCCUCCAUGCUUAUUGAGGCAGACGGUGGCCAGUGCCCACCGCCUUUCCCCACUUCCCUUUCAGUUUCUUUCCACCUUAGAAAGCCGUGACCCCCACUAAACGUGCAAAUACAUUUUUAAAGCCUCCUUCUACAACUGGCCCCGCUGUCACCGGCAUUGACACGAUCUUUUUUUUUUUUUUUUUUUUAUUAACAACUUCUCCUCACCCCUAAGGUUUACCCCACCGUGUCGGGGCGGCCGAGGACGGUCGUUCUGCGGCGAUACGGAAACGCAGAGGGAACCACAAACAGGAAAAUGUCACAGGGCACAGAGCACGUCCACGAGCGAACCUGCGGGUCCCCCCGCGCCGUGACGUGGGAAUCCCUCCUGGAGAGGCGUUCUCCAGGAGAGUGAAGAGAAGAGAGAGAGGAAAAUGGGGGAAGAAAAAGGGGGGAGGGUUGGGGGGGGGAAGAGGGAGGGAGGAGGUGAGCGAGUGGGGAGAUGUGAGAGUGCAAUUGGAAACUAAUAAAACUCUUGUUAAAGUGCUUGCUCAGGAUCCAUGGCGUCACCAGGUCCUUUGCUCGCGAAGCCAAAGAGUUUUAUUCCUAAAUGAGUUAAAGAGCCAUUUACCUCUGUCGUGUUCUAUUCAUCAAGCCACAAGUCGAGAGUCCCUAACAUGAAACUAUUUGUUUGCUUACACAACCAGCUGGGUGCAAUUUCACGUCUGAGAUAUCUAUCUGAAAGCGCCUCUCAUUUAUUAUCCCUCCUUGUCAGCGAAUCCAUUUUCCAACUUUCCCCCCACCCCCUCGCCCCGUCCCCAUUCACUGCAGGCUCCGGUCUUAAACGGUCCCUUAAAUUUUUCGGCACCUACACCCCCCUCCCCUCCCACCGGCGCACAGAGCCGGGGAAAGGCUUCACGCCGUGAAACUCGGAGAGCUUCGACCGAGCUGCUUCCCUGUCCUUCUCCAUUUCUCCCUCACCCCGCAGGCCUGGUUGCAGCAGAACGGCUUUUUCCCCUUUUCCCUUUUGAUCGGACUUCACCACGGGGAUGCCCGGCGCAAGGUGCAGCCGCCGGGAGAUGGAUGCACGGAGCGUGCAGUGGGAAGGGCCGAAACCGCUGCGGGGACCCGGCCCGGCCUCAUCCCGGCCUCGGUGGUCCUGACUCCGCGGGGGCCGCGGGGCGGAGGCGGCGGACUCGGAGCCCGGGUGGGAGCGGGGGCGAGGAGGGACUUCGGGGUCUUUUCUGCCACCCCACGUGGUUCCCACCAGAAAUACAAAGACGCUACGAGCAACGGGCCCGGCCGGGUUUCAGAUGUAAUUGCGAGGAAAGAAAACAAUUAACAAAAGGGGCAGUGGGAAACUGUAUCUCCCCUCCCUCCCUUUACCCCCAGUUUUGAAAAGUCGAGAUAAUGUGAGCAGUGUUUCCAUCAAGGCACUCUGGCCAACAAGAGACCACUGUCAGCGAUGGCCGUACAGCAGUGCACACACGUCUCCUCCUCAGAGCCCUCCGCCCUGCUUAAAGCCGUGGAUCAAACCCACAACCACAGGGCACGACAUCUCCCCAGUUGCUACAAAAAUAAGAGAUAAAAGGAAAGAAGGAUGGGAUGGGAGGCGCGGCAGGCGGGCUGCGGGAAGAUGCGGCGUGCGGCGGGCCGGGAGCCGUCCCAUUGUCCCGGGCUCAGAAGACCUCCGCUGCCCGCAGGGGCUGCACACGACGCCUCUCGCCCGAACCCCGCGAGCCCCGGCCACGGCCUCGGGUCCGCACUCGAUCCCCACGCAAACGUCCACGCAUGUCCGGGUCACAGCGUGUUGCUUCAGCCCAGGACAGCGCAGAGGUGCCUGGGGCCCAGCCGACGGCCAUCGCUCCCUCCCCGCCGCCCUUUGGCUCCCCAGGGGGCCAUCAGUCCCCCCCUCCUUUUUUUGGGGGGGGGGCGGGGUGUUUUAUUUCACCAUUACUCAGCCGCUGUGUGUGCUGCGGGACCGGGCCCACGCGUGACUCCAUGGACAGACAGGCGGGUCCCCGCUUUCGUUCUACUCUGGUCUUUUUUUUUUUCCUCCCUCGGGUUAUCCUGGGGGAUCAGAUCUCUCCUGAAGGUCUGCACCCGCUCUGCACAAAGAGACAGAAGAGAAGGGGUUGGGACUCAGCUCCGAAGGCCAAAGAGCUCUUUAAACCCCCGGGCUGCAACCACACCGCCGCUCUGAGCGGCGCUUCAGGGGCCGGAGAGCCGCGCAACUCCCGACACAGCGCUGCGGCUCCGUGGAGCGAUAAAUAACGCCGCUCAGGUACUUUUUCUUUCAGAGAACCAUACAAAUUGGCCCGUGUUGACAGAUGUUUGUCACUUAGUAACUUCUUUCCAAGUUUUUUUUUUUUUUCCCCUCCCUCUUCCCUCCUCUAAGCCUUCUUCCGAGCCCGCUUUGUUGUUUUAAAAUAUGCAUGUCUCUCAGGAAUGCGAGUCACGAGUCCAAACUUCGUGUCCAACCUCCCACAAGAAAUGAUCCUUUUAUAGGGAACCCGAUAUGUCUCAAUCUGCACUUCACUCAAAGCCGCUGGAUAUAGGGCGCCGCUCCCUGCGCGCAAAUCACCGCGCCGAAGCGCAUUUCCACCCCCAUCCCCCCCCCCCCCCCCCCAAAAAAAAAAACCCACAACCAAACUACUAAACAAACAAACAAACAAAAAAAAAACCACGCAUGGCUCCCGGUGAGGAAAUACAGCUCCCAUGGUAUGGUGAGAAGGGAGUGCAGCCUGGAGGAAGGAAAAAAAAUACUUAAGAAAGGGAAAAUCAGGAAAAAAAGGAGGGGAGAAGGGAAGUUUUAUUCCUGCGCACGCCGCGCAGGGCCAUCGCAAGCAGUGGUUUUGCCAAGGACGUGCCCCUGCGCAGCUCCGGGUGCGUGGGGAGAAGACGUCAGCUCGUGGCGAGCGGAGGAGAGAUGGAAGAGCAGAGCCCAACUUCGGGAAAAGAUGAAGCGCACCCAGCGAGACCCCGUUCCAGCCCUCUCCUCCCGAAGCAGCCCAAGUGGCUCUCAGAACAAUUUCCCAGCACUUCCAGCACGCACGCAGGGUGCCGCCGAGGGGGAGGGCUCAACCGCUGCCCGCUUCCCAUCAGAGAAGCCCUUCCUCCCCCAUCUGCACCAGGAGAGAAGUUCGCAGGGUGCGCGCCACAGCUGCGGGAUCCACAGCAAAUGCUGCGGUACGGCAAUGGCUCUCUUCAUGCUUGUAUGCCCGUCUGUGCCUGACACCCACAUCUUCACACGGGGCCAGGAGGGAGAGAGCUCACGAGGACGAAUAAAGGUGCUUGGAACGAGUGGAACUGCACCCAUCGGCCAGUGCGGGCUCGGAGAUCAUCUGCGUCUUCCCAUUUGGCCACUUUUUGUUUUUGCCACCAUUGAAAUGACAGUACUUAGGACGGCGAAAUGCGGAGAUGCAGUAAAGCUGCUUGUCUGAAUCCACUUUGAAGUAAUAAUGCUGUUGGUCUGAAAUCCAGAUCUGCCCGCUAAUCUCUGGUUUUGCCUUCAAACGGAAUUCAGAUACAAAGAGCUUGGAAAGAUUUUGCGUCUAUUCAAGAGGCACAAAAUCUUUAAUUUUCUGAGGAGCAAAAACUCCCCAAGAAACUUCAUAUAGCUCCUUGGGUUUUGCUUAGCAUACGUGAUAAAACAUUGAUUGUCGCAGUCUGGUGACCCAUGAAAUUUGGGGGUUAGUUUUCUCUUCAGACCAGAGCAUAUAAUUAUGCAAAUAAAGAGCUGUCACCGAUCUAGUGAAAUACUCACAAACACACGCAAUCCGAAAUGGAACAGAAAUGUGAAAAUUUGCGGCAUUACGAUGGUGCAAUGAUAAAUGACAUCUCCUCCCAACUUUCUCGAGAAGUGCAUUAUUUCACACUUUGUCGACACAAUGCGGGCGCGCACCGAGGCGCGCACACCCGUCCCUGCAGGAUCCGGGUACCCGGGAUCACAGCUGCGUGCACAGACAUACGUGCAUCCCUCGAUCCGCGAGAUGCAGCGCUGCCCGAGUGCGCUGCGCGGGACGCGCACGUUCCUGGCAGCUCGUUUCGGGUUUGACUGAGUCGAGCACGGUGCAGUGUGUAGCUCCGCGCAGCCUUAGAUGUGACGCUUUCUUUUGUACGUCUGAAUGAAACACCUAGAGGGGGAAAGAAAACAGUCGGUGAUGCUUCUCGGGGACAGGGGAGAAAUGUCCUUUCCCACGAAAAGCCGCAUCUUUUCACCGAGUCCCGGAGAACAGCACCGUGAUGGCCGCAACCGGCGUGCAGCAAUGUGCCCACGAUGCAAAUGAGGGGUUGAUUUGCCUUCCCCCUACACCCCUCCCAUUUUAUUUUACGCAGUCCCGCUGUGUUUGGGGGUCCACAUGGAGCCGGUGGCUGCUUUCCUGGAGUAGCAUUUUCCCCGCUCCCCUCCCUGGCGAGAAGAUGCGGCUCUUGUCGGCCCAUGGUGGGGAGCCGCUCUGCUACGAAGCACUGUGCAGUACUCAUCCCACUGUGUAUGUAUAUUUAUACAUUUUCAGUUUUUCCCCAUACCCUCAAGUCCCGCAGGGCACGCACAUGCUACGCACACCACACCCGAUGUCCCGAAGUCCCCUCGUGGUGCCAUGUGAACAGGCUCAAGGAAGACCUCGGCUGGUAAAGACAUCAUCGCCUGAGACGGGUGGUGAUCAACUUUAGAAAACAUCGAUUCAAAGGAACCAGCUAAACCCACUUUUCCCUUCUUCUGAGUACUUGAGAGGCUCUCACUGUCCUCUGACAGCGGGCGUGCAGAUAACGGGG